GAUGAACGCUGGCGGCGUGCCUAAUACAUGCAAGUCGAGCGAACGGACGAGAAGCUUGCUUCUCUGAUGUUAGCGGCGGACGGGUGAGUAACACGUGGAUAACCUACCUAUAAGACUGGGAUAACUUCGGGAAACCGGAGCUAAUACCGGAUAAUAUUUUGAACCGCAUGGUUCAAAAGUGAAAGACGGUCUUGCUGUCACUUAUAGAUGGAUCCGCGCUGCAUUAGCUAGUUGGUAAGGUAACGGCUUACCAAGGCAACGAUGCAUAGCCGACCUGAGAGGGUGAUCGGCCACACUGGAACUGAGACACGGUCCAGACUCCUACGGGAGGCAGCAGUAGGGAAUCUUCCGCAAUGGGCGAAAGCCUGACGGAGCAACGCCGCGUGAGUGAUGAAGGUCUUCGGAUCGUAAAACUCUGUUAUUAGGGAAGAACAUAUGUGUAAGUAACUGUGCACAUCUUGACGGUACCUAAUCAGAAAGCCACGGCUGACUACGUGCCAGCAGCCGCGGUAAUACGUAGGUGGCAAGCGUUAUCCGGAAUUAUUGGGCGUAAAGCGCGCGUAGGCGGUUUUUUAAGUCUGAUGUGAAAGCCCACGGCUCAACCGUGGAGGGUCAUUGGAAACUGGAAAACUUGAGUGCAGAAGAGGAAAGUGGAAUUCCAUGUGUAGCGGUGAAAUGCGCAGAGAUAUGGAGGAACACCAGUGGCGAAGGCGACUUUCUGGUCUGUAACUGACGCUGAUGUGCGAAAGCGUGGGGAUCAAACAGGAUUAGAUACCCUGGUAGUCCACGCCGUAAACGAUGAGUGCUAAGUGUUAGGGGGUUUCCGCCCCUUAGUGCUGCAGCUAACGCAUUAAGCACUCCGCCUGGGGAGUACGACCGCAAGGUUGAAACUCAAAGGAAUUGACGGGGACCCGCACAAGCGGUGGAGCAUGUGGUUUAAUUCGAAGCAACGCGAAGAACCUUACCAAAUCUUGACAUCCUUUGACAACUCUAGAGAUAGAGCCUUCCCCUUCGGGGGACAAAGUGACAGGUGGUGCAUGGUUGUCGUCAGCUCGUGUCGUGAGAUGUUGGGUUAAGUCCCGCAACGAGCGCAACCCUUAAGCUUAGUUGCCAUCAUUAAGUUGGGCACUCUAAGUUGACUGCCGGUGACAAACCGGAGGAAGGUGGGGAUGACGUCAAAUCAUCAUGCCCCUUAUGAUUUGGGCUACACACGUGCUACAAUGGACAAUACAAAGGGCAGCGAAACCGCGAGGUCAAGCAAAUCCCAUAAAGUUGUUCUCAGUUCGGAUUGUAGUCUGCAACUCGACUACAUGAAGCUGGAAUCGCUAGUAAUCGUAGAUCAGCAUGCUACGGUGAAUACGUUCCCGGGUCU
rnacentral:rRNA from 1 species